rnacentral:rRNA from 1 species
AGUGAACGCUGGCGGUAGGCCUAACACAUGCAAGUCGAACGGCAGCACAGUAAGAGCUUGCUCUUACGGGUGGCGAGUGGCGGACGGGUGAGGAAUACAUCGGAAUCUACUUUUUCGUGGGGGAUAACGUAGGGAAACUUACGCUAAUACCGCAUACGACCUACGGGUGAAAGCAGGGGAUCUUCGGACCUUGCGCGAUUGAAUGAGCCGAUGUCGGAUUAGCUAGUUGGCGGGGUAAAGGCCAACCAAGGCGACGAUCCGUAGCUGGUCUGAGAGGAUGAUCAGCCACACUGGAACUGAGACACGGUCCAGACUCCUGCGGGAGGCCGCAGUGGGGAAUAUUGGACAAUGGGCGCAAGCCUGAUACAGCCAUACCGCGUGGGUGAAGAAGGCCUUCGGGUUGUAAAGCCCUUUUGUUGGGAAAGAAAAGCAGCAGGUUAAUACCCCGCUGUUCUGACGGUACCCAAAGAAUAAGCACCGGCUAACUUCGUG